GCCCUCCUGUGGUACAAUGGGUUAGUGUGCCUGGCUGUCAAUCAGAAGGUUGGUGGUUCAAGUCCAACCAGGGAUG